UACGAAGGGGGCGAGCGUUGUUCGGAAUUACUGGGCGUAAAGCGUGUGUAGGCGGCCACGUAAGUCGGAUGUGAAAGCCCCGGGCUCAACCCGGGAAGUGCACUCGAUACUGCGUGGCUUGAGUACUGGAGAGGUUGGUGGAAUUCUCGGUGUAGAGGUGAAAUUCGUAGAUAUCGAGAGGAACACCGGUGGCGAAGGCGGCCAACUGGACAGAUACUGACGCUGAGACACGAGAGCGUGGGGAGCAAACAGG
rnacentral:rRNA from 1 species